UAGCUCAGUUGGUAGAGCAUGGUGUUUGCAACACCAGGGUUGCGGGUUUGAUUCCCAC
rfam:Salmo salar isolate Sally breed double haploid chromosome ssa01, whole genome shotgun sequence.